CCUACGGGCGGCAGCAGUGGGGAAUAUUGCACAAUGGGCGAAAGCCUGAUGCAGCAACGCCGCGUGAGCGAUGAAGGCCUUCGGGUCGUAAAGCUCUGUUCUCAAGGAAGAUAAUGACGGUACGUGAGGAGGAAGCCCCGGCUAACUACGGGCCAGCAGCCGCGGUAAGACGUAGGGGGCUAGCGUUAUCCGGAAUUACUGGGCGUAAAGGGUGCGGAGGUGGUUUCUUAAGUCAGAGGUGAAAGGUUACGGCUCAACCGUAGUAAGCCUUUGAAACUGGAGAACUUGAGUGCAGGAGAGGAGAGUGGAAUUCGUGGUGUAGCGGUGAAAUGCGUAGAUAUUAGGAGGAACACCAGUUGCGAAGGCGGCUCUCUGGACUGUAACUGACGCUGAGGCACGAAAGCGUGGGGAGCAAACAGGAUUAGAUACCCGAGUAGUC
rnacentral:rRNA from 1 species